rnacentral:rRNA from 1 species
AUACGUAGGGUGCGAGCGUUGUCCGGAAUUACUGGGCGUAAAGAGCCCGUAGGUGGUUUGUCGCGUCGUCUGUGAAAUUCCGGGGCUUAACUCCGGGCGUGCAGGCGAUACGGGCAUAACUUGAGUACUGUAGAGGAGACUGGAAUUCCUGGUGUAGCGGUGAAAUGCGCAGAUAUCAGGAGGAACACCGGUGGCGAAGGCGGGUCUCUGGGCAGUAACUGACGCUGAGGAGCGAAAGCAUGGGUAGCGAACAGGAUUAGAUACCCUGGUAGUCCAUGCCGUAAACGGUGGGCGCUAGGUGUAGGGGUCUUCCACGACUUCUGUGCCGUAGCUAACGCAUUAAGCGCCCCGCCUGGGGAGUACGGCCGCAAGGCUAAAACUCAAAUGAAUUGACGGGG